AUGGAGUCCAUUCCCUCCAGUGCAGUGCUGAAGAAACCUGGUGACACUCUCAGUCUCUCCCGUAGGGGAUCUGGGUUCACUUUUGGAGAUUAUUACAUGCACUGGAUCAGACAGCCUGCUGGGAAAGCACUGGAGUGGAUAGGUUGUGAUUAUGAUGGUGGCACCUAUGCCAACAGUGUCCAAGGACGCAUAGAAAUCACCACAGACGACCCCAACAGCAUGGUGUAUCUGAAACUGUCUGGUCUGAGGGCAGAGGACUCUGCUGUGUAUUACUGUGCAAGACAGGCACAGUGA